GUUUGAUCCUGGCUCAGAAUCAACGCUGGCGGCGCGCCUAACACAUGCAAGUCGAACGAGAAAGCGGGGGCAACCUCGUGAGUAAAGUGGCGUACGGGUGAGUAACACGUGGAUUAUCUACCCUUUUGUGGGGGAUAACCCUGGGAAACCGGGGCUAAUACCGCAUAAGUCCGAGAGGAGAAAGCAGCAAUGCGCAGGAGGAGGAGUCCGCGGCCGAUUAGCUAGUUGGUAGGGUAAAAGCCUACCAAGGCUCCGAUCGGUAGCCGGCCUGAGAGGGCACACGGCCACACUGGCACUGAAACACGGGCCAGACUCCUACGGGAGGCAGCAGUGGGGAAUCUUGCACAAUGGGGGCAACCCUGAUGCAGCGACGCCGCGUGAGCGAUGAAGCCCUUCGGGGUGUAAA
rnacentral:rRNA from 1 species